CCCUGGUUAGCUCAGUUGGUGGAGCACUCCACUGGAAAUGGAGAGGUCCCGGGCUCGAUACCCGGACCAGGGA
rfam:Ixodes scapularis strain Wikel colony gcontig_1108379144570, whole genome shotgun sequence.